rnacentral:snRNA from 1 species
GUGCUUUGGUAGCAGCUCAUAUACUAAAAUUAGAAUGAUACAGAGAAGAUUAGCACGGGCCCUGCGCAAGGAUGACACGCAAAUUCCUGAAGUAUUUCAUAUUAAA